rnacentral:lncRNA from 1 species
AUUGAGGUUAGGGCGGCCCCAUCCGUCGGUCUCCGCCAGCUAGGAUCUCCCCCGCCGUCCGCCCCCGCCCCUCGUCUGCCUCCCCCGCCCGCGCCUCCGCCCGCGCUUCCCUUUCCUGCCUCGCGCCCCACUCCCUUUCCUCCCCUCCCUGUUUCCCUUCCUGUCCUUCCCAGCUCACGCUCUCUUUCCCUGCCGCCUGCCUUUCUUUUUUCCUUUUUUUGCAUUGGCGUCUUGGGGCUGUUACACACACGCGCGCUGUCCAUUGCAGCUUACAUAAAGGCGGGCGCGAUUAUGCAAUUAUAUUGUUAGCGAUAUUUCAAGAGCAAUGGCUCGUUUUCUUAGGAUUUCAACACGAAGGCAUCAUGCAUUUUUGAAAAACUAGUAUUGAGAAUAAUACCUUGCAACGUAAAGAAUGUUUUUUGGUAUUUUUACACAAUCUCUACUUUGACCAAACGAGUCUGGACAGUUUUCUUUUAAUGGAAAAUAGGAGAAAUGGAGGAAAGAAUGGAAAUGAUUUCUGAAAGGCCAAAAGAGAGUAUGUAUUCCUGGAACAAAACUGCAGAGAAAAGUGAUUUUGAAGCUGUAGAAGCACUUAUGUCAAUGAGCUGCAGUUGGAAGUCUGAUUUUAAGAAAUACGUUGAAAACAGACCUGUUACACCAGUAUCUGAUUUGUCAGAGGAAGAGAAUCUGCUUCCGGGAACACCUGAUUUUCAUACAAUCCCAGCAUUUGAGAAAAGCCUUUCAGCUGUAGCUGGAAAGGUUGUGAAAGGAGGUUUGCCCGUUCUGAUGAACUGUCCAGACACAGGCGAACCCACACGGGUGAGAAGAAAUUUGCGUGCCCCAUGUGUGACCGGCGGUUCAUGAGGAGUGACCAUUUGACCAAGCAUGCCCGGCGCCAUCUAUCAGCCAAGAAGCUACCAAACUGGCAGAUGGAAGUGAGCAAGCUAAAUGACAUUGCUCUACCUCCAACCCCUGCUCCCACACAGUGACAGACCGGAAAGUGAAGAGUCAGAACUAACUUUGGUCUCAGCGGGAGCCAGUGGUGAUGUAAAAAUGCUUCCACUGCAAGUCUGUGGCCCCACAACGUGGGCUUAAAGCAGAAGCCCCACAGCCUGGCACGAAGGCCCCGCCUGGGUUAGGUGACUAAAAGGGCUUCGGCCACAGGCAGGUCACAGAAAGGCAGGUUUCAUUUCUUAUCACAUAAGAGAGAUGAGAAAGCUUUUAUUCCUUUGAAUAUUUUUUGAAGGUUUCAGAUGAGGUCAACACAGGUAGCACAGAUUUUGAAUCUGUGUGCAUAUUUGUUACUUUACUUUUGCUGUUUAUACUUGAGACCAACUUUUCAAUGUGAUUCUUCUAAAGCACUGGUUUCAAGAAUAUGGAGGCUGGAAGGAAAUAAACAUUACGGUACAGACAUGGAGAUGUAAAAUGAGUUUGUAUUAUUACAAAUAUUGUCAUCUUUUUCUAGAGUUAUCUUCUUUAUUAUUCCUAGUCUUUCCAGUCAACAUCGUGGAUGUAGUGAUUAAAUAUAUCUAGAACUAUCAUUUUUACACUAUUGUGAAUAUUUGGAAUUGAACGACUGUAUAUUGCUAAGAGGGCCCAAAGAAUUGGAAUCCUCCUUAAUUUAAUUGCUUUGAAGCAUAGCUACAAUUUGUUUUUGCAUUUUUGUUUUGAAAGUUUAACAAAUGACUGUAUCUAGGCAUUUCAUUAUGCUUUGAACUUUAGUUUGCCUGCAGUUUCUUGUGUAGAUUUGAAAAUUGUAUACCAAUGUGUUUUCUGUAGACUCUAAGAUACACUGCACUUUGUUUAGAAAAAAAACUGAAGAUGAAAUAUAUAUUGUAAAGAAGGGAUAUUAAGAAUCUUAGAUAACUUCUUGAAAAAGAUGGCUUAUGUCAUCAGUAAAGUACCUUUAUGUUAUGAGGAUAUAAUGUGUGCUUUAUUGAAUUAGAAAAUUAGUGACCAUUAUUCACAGGUGGACAAAUGUUGAUGUUGUCCUGUUAAUUUAUAGGCGUUUUUUGGGGAUGUGGAGGUAGUUGGGUAGAAAAAUUAUUAGAACAUUCACUUUUGUUAACAGUAUUUCUCUUUUAUUCUGUUAUAUAGUGGAUGAUAUACACAGUGGCAAAACAAAAGUACAUUGCUUAAAAUAUAUAGUGAAAAAUGUCACUAUAUCUUCCCAUUUAACAUUGUUUUUGUAUAUUGGGUGUAGAUUUCUGACAUCAAAACUUGGACCCUUGGAAAACAAAAGUUUUAAUUAAAAAAAAUCCUUGUGACUUACAAUUUGCACAAUAUUUCUUUUGUUGUACUUUAUAUCUUGUUUACAAUAAAGAAUUCCCUUUGGUAUAUGGAA